rnacentral:rRNA from 1 species
UACGUAGGCAGCGAGCGUUGUUCGGAAUUACUGGGCGUAAAGAGUGUGUAGGCGGUGCUCUAAGUUCGGUGUGAAAUCUCCCGGCUUAACUGGGAGGGUGCGCCGGAAACUGGAGUGCUCGAGCGUGGGAGAGGAAAGGCGGAAGUUCCUGGUGUAGCGGUGAAAUGCGUAGAUAUCAGGAGGAACACCUGCGGUGUAGACGGCUUUCUGGACCAUUGCUGACGCUGAGACACGAAAGCGUGGGUAGCAAACAGG